rnacentral:rRNA from 1 species
UGGGGAAUAUUGGACAAUGGGCGCAAGCCUGAUCCAGCCAUGCCGCGUGAGUGAUGAAGGCCUUCGGGUCGUAAAGCUCUGUGGGGAGGGACGAAAGACGCCGACCUAAUACGUCGGCGGGUUGACGGUACCUCCUUAGCAAGCACCGGCUAACUCCGUGCCAGCAGCCGCGGUAAUACGGAGGGUGCAAACGUUGCUCGGAAUCAUUGGGCGUAAAGCGCACGUAGGCGGUUCGCUAAGUCGGGUGUGAAAGCCCUGGGCUCAACCCAGGAAGGGCACUCGAAACUGACGAGCUUGAGUACGGAAGGGGGUCUCGGAAUUCCCGGUGUAGAGGUGAAAUUCGUAGAUAUCGGGAGGAACACCAGUGGCGAAGGCGGAGACCUGGGCCGAUACUGACGCUGAGGUGCGAAAGCGUGGGGAGCAAACAG